rnacentral:rRNA from 1 species
UACGAAGGGUGCAAGCGUUACUCGGAAUUACUGGGCGUAAAGGGUGCGUAGGUGGUUGUUUAAGUCUGCUGUGAAAGCCCCGGGCUCAACCUGGGAAUGGCAGUGGAUACUGGACAGCUAGAGUGCGGUAGAGGGUAGUGGAAUUCCCGGUGUAGCAGUGAAAUGCGUAGAUAUCUGGAGGAACACCGGUGGCGAAGGCGGCGUCCUGGACCAACACUGACACUGAUGAGCGAAAGCCAGGGGGAGCAAACGGG